GUGGGGAAUAUUGCACAAUGGGCGCAAGCCUGAUGCAGCAACGCCGCGUGAGGGACGACGGCCUUCGGGUUGUAAACCUCUUUUAGCAGGGAAGAAGCGAAAGUGACGGUACCUGCAGAAAAAGCACCGGCUAACUACGUGCCAGCAGCCGCGGUAAUACGUAGGGUGCAAGCGUUGUCCGGAAUUAUUGGGCGUAAAGAGCUCGUAGGCGGUUUGUCGCGUCUGCUGUGAAACCCCGAGGCUCAACCUCGGGCCUGCAGUGGGUACGGGCAGAGUAGAGUGCGGUAGGGGGGAUUGGAAUUCCUGGUGUAGCGGUGGAAUGCGCAGAUAUCAGGAGGAACACCGAUGGCGAAGGCAGAUCUCUGGGCCGUAACUGACGCUGAGGAGCGAAAGCGUGGGGAGCGAACAGGAUUAGAUACCCCGGUAGUCC
rnacentral:rRNA from 1 species